rnacentral:rRNA from 1 species
UACGAAGGGGGCUAGCGUUGCUCGGAAUGACUGGGCGUAAAGGGCGCGUAGGCGGCUUGCACCGUCAGAUGUGAAAUUCCUGGGCUUAACCUGGGGGCUGCAUUUGAUACGUGUGGGCUUGAGUGCGGAAGAGGGUCGUGGAAUUCCCAGUGUAGAGGUGAAAUUCGUAGAUAUUGGGAAGAACACCGGUGGCGAAGGCGGCGACCUGGGUCGAGACUGACGCUGAGGCGCGAAAGCUAGGGGAGCGAACGGG